CCUCUGGCCGUGCUCGAGAUUACGCCCGCGCUCAGGAGUGCCGACCAUCGCUGCCCGUUGCGUAACAGUUUGCCUGUGCCGAGAACUUCAACACGUGCGCAUGCCUCCCGUUAUCAGCAGUUCGCCGCUCUCAUUUGAGUUGCUGUUGCUGGUGAAUUUACUAAUGCCCCGGGUGAUGCUUUAUUCCUGUUGAAUUUACAGAGGAUGGAGACAUACACAAUACGAUGAUUUUCGUGGUGUCAGCACCUGCAUUUUGUAGGCCUACGUCAAGAUUACAGUCGCUCUGUCUAAGACUCAACAGGUCUCACUAACAUUGCUGCCCUAUAGCCGUCGCUAUGUAAAUAAAACGGAGAAUGUUCUCUGAAA